CCCUGAUGUCCUGAAAACAUAUUUACAUGUUGGAGACAGCUGGGCCAAUUGGACAGUUCUCUACCGGGCCCCGGAGUGAACAUACUUGUACACCUGCAAAGCCGACUAAAACGAGGGCUGAGGGGCUUACGUUGCAAACUGCCCUUGCUUGGCUAAUCAUUUGGACCGCCCGCCAAGAUGGCGACAGGGAUUUCCCCAAGGGCAUAAGGCAAGGCCUGAGGACUUCCCUGAGAUGGAGAUCUUGUGGCAGCUGACCUGCGCCUGGAACACAGGCAUCCUGCUUUACAGCCUGGCCGAGUACCCUGAGGGGUGGUGUGGCCUGGGCAUGAGCUUCCUCCGCUGCCUGGGCUCCCUGCAGGAGAGCUACCAGACACAGAUGUCAGAUCUGUACACAGGUCCUGGAUAGUCUGGACAAAGCCAAGAAGAACCUCCUCUUGGAGUCGUGAUUUGAGCUGGUAGAGCUUUGCAGAGCUCUUUUACUGUCUGGCACCUGAUGUUAUUCAUGUGGUAGCUGGGAUGGUAGUUUACUAUAUGAUGUAUGACUGGUCUCCAGUUUAGUCAGCUCCUCCAGGAUGUCAGUUGCAUCCUGUCCUCACCCAAUAUUUCCCUCACUUUCCCUAUGGAGAGUUCAGAUAACCAUUUCUGCUGGGGCGACAGGGUAGCCUAGUGGUUAGAGCGUUGGACUAGUAACCGAAAGGUUGCAAGUUCAAAUCCCCGAGCUGACAAGGUACAAAUCUGUCGUUCUGCCCCUGAACAGGCAGUUAACCCACUGUUCCUAGGCCGUCAUUGAAAAUAAGAAUUUGUUCUUAACUGACUUGCCUAGUAAAAUAAAGGUUAAAAAA
ensembl:lncRNA